rnacentral:rRNA from 1 species
GUGCUUUAGCUAUCGUAGGUGUAGCCUGCGGAGGAUCAUUA